ACUGUCUUAGUAUAUAUAUUAUAUUAGCUUUUCGUGCUUGAGAGGAUGUUUUGUACAUCAGACAGUG
rnacentral:tRNA from 1 species